rnacentral:rRNA from 1 species
CUACGCACUCCUACGGGAGGCAGCAGUGGGGGAAUAUUGCACGAAUGGGCGCAAGCCUGAUGCAGCCAUGCCGCGUGUAUGAAGAAGGCCUUCGGGUUGUAAAGUACUUUCAGCAGUGAGGAAGGUGGGUAUGUUAAUAGCAUAUUCAUUUGACGUUAGCUGCAGAAGAAGCACCGGCUAACUCCGUGCCAGCAGCCGCGGUAAUACGGAGGGUGCGAGCGUUAAUCGGAAUUACUGGGCGUAAAGCGCAUGCAGGUGGUUUGUUAAGUCAGAUGUGAAAGCCCGGGGCUCAACCUCGGAAUUGCAUUUGAAACUGGCAAACUAGAGUACUGUAGAGGGGGUAGAAUUUCAGGUGUAGCGGUGAAAUGCGUAGAGAUCUGAAGGAAUACCGGUGGCGAAGGCGGCCCCCCUGGACAGAUACUGACACUCAGAUGCGAAAGCGUGGGGAGCAAACAGGAUUAGAUACCCUGGUAG